GAGAGAGAGAGAGAGAGAGAGAGAGAGAGAGAGAGAGAGACUCCCUUACUUACUGAGUGAAGGAAGGCACAAGGGGCAGGACCACCUAACACGUGUGCCCAACCCCCCUUUUCCCUCCUCUAAACACACACACACUCUGUACCUCUCUUGAGCUUUCUUUUGCGGUGUCUCAGAGAGUUGUGUGUGCUGCCGCUGGUUCGACGCCUCUCUCCAUUCUGCCAGGGUGUGAGUAGUUAGAGUGUGAGGUAGACUGAACCUAUUAGACCGACUCCAGCUGUGUGGAGGAGCCCCGCACUUUUGUUCGAAUCACUUCCAUUCAGACGAUUGAAGACAUCAUGAAGUUUGAGCUGCUGCUGUUUGCCCUGGUUGGGCCUUUCUGUGCCAUCACACACGCAAGUACUCUGGUGGUGACCACAGCACAGGACCUGGCCAGUGUGACAGAAACUGUUAGAGAAGCUAUUGAUGCUACAGAGCCACCAAAGGAGCAGGUCACAACAGUAGCUCCAGAGGAAGCUGUCAAUGAAGUAUCUGUACUACCUGCUACUAAAGCUGCUGUGACAGAAACAGAAGCACAAGUAACUGAUACAGAAGCUCCAGUCGUAUCCACAGUGGUAGCUCCAGAUGGGCCUACUGUCACAGAAGCUACACCUGAGCCUGAUGAGACAACAAGUGUGGUAGUAACAGUGGCAGCUGUAGGGACAGUGGCAGCUGUAGGGACAGAGCCAGCUGUAGUGACAGAGGCAAAAGAAGAGGAAAAUGCAGCUCCAGAGGCCGAAGCAGAGUUAGAGCAAGAGACUGCAACACAGGCAGAUGUGGAAGUGGAAGAUUCAGGCUUGAGUACAGGCCAUGUGGUGGGCAUUGUGAUUGGUGCCCUGGUAGCUGUGGUCAUCAUCAUCGCUGUGAUAGUUGUGGUGGUCAGGAGGAUGGGCCAAUACUCGUAAGUGCACCAUAAAUACCAGCUUUUUCAAAAUGCAUGAGAAAUGUGCAUGUAAACACUGUAUGAUUUUCUAUGUUCUAGGGCUGCAAAGAAACGAAAACCUCAAAAACAAGACGGCAUCAUGAUCUCUGUAAUUUCGCUAUUCGUUGAUUGAUUGCUAAUCCUUUGUUAAUUAGUAUAAUCUACUGAUGGUUCUAAAACAAUGUGACACAAAUGAUGCUGCAAUCGCUCCAGUACACUAUAAGCAUGCAGGACAAUAUCGAAUAUGAUCUGUUAUGCUUAUUUAAGGUUGUAAUUAGAAUGCUUAACAAGUAUGAGGAAUUCUGUCUUUGUUGUAGUAAAUUGAUCAGAACAGGAUGUGUGUGACAAUUGAUAUUGUGCCAGAGCACUGUACGUCUAGAAACACAAUAACCAUUGCUCAUACCAUGGAAGUGAAUGCCCAACACUUGUUUACAAAGGAUACAACAAACUGUAACGCUUUCACGAUUUCAUCCAGAAAUUUACACCAGCACUGUUCUUACUAGCAUUCACAAUCUAGGAUGCUAUUGUGCAAGGUCAAAAUAGUCACAAGGGUCACGAUCUGUAAUGGAAGCCUGAGGACAAAAACAGAAAGUUUAUUAAUAGCUGACACAACCAUGUGGAAUAUUCAAUCAAAUGUCUGUUAAAAUAUCUGUUUAAAUACUUGAAACGAUCAACUAGAAUGUUUGGUUCAAAUAGUCCAAUCAAGCAAACAAGCAGAAUGUGUGGUUCACCAACAUGCCCAAAGUUUUAUUACAUUUCUAUAACUUAAGAAUAGCUCAACCAGUUUGCACUGAUGUCCCUGUAAUUACUGUGUAAUAAGCCAUAGUAUGUAAUAAGCCUGGGAUUUUAAAGAUUUAACUGAGCCAUUUACUGUGGAACAGCAACACAGUGUCACACAAUAAAUCUGUACUAACAGCAAUCCAAGACUAAAAUGAAAGGAGGGGUGAUCAUUCUAAGCAGUAUUCUAAAUGUUUUGUUGAACUAAAUGCCAAUAACUUUAAAGUAAUAUUGAUAACAAUUUAAUUGCUACUAGUACAGCUUUGUGCUGUUAACUAUUCAUACAACGCCAUGAUGCCCCUUGUAUUUUUACCCCUUUUACAUACUGAUCCACUCUUUAGUUUUUGUUUUUUUGCUGUCGUGAAUUCUGAGCAGGGGUCUCACGAGUCUGUUGAGGUCAGUGUGAGAGUGUGAGGGAGUGAGUGCACUGGUUGGUGGUGAGUCAGUGUGGUAUUUUUGGUGCGGUGUGUCCUUGUACUAAAUUUUCUUGCUCUUUUCAGCCCCUGAAAAGGAAGGCAGCGCGACAGGAAGAGAAGAAGAAAAAGUUCUUGAAAUUCUGAACUACUGAACCGACGUCAUUUCCUGUCAUUAAACAAAAAGCAAGCUAGGAGCACUCUGAACCAUCCAGGACUAUGAGGACGGUGUACUCACGCUCCCUCCCCACCACCACCAACCACAGAGCUAUUGAUAUGGAUGCUCUGCCCAACCCCCAUCAUCUCCCCUAUGUGUACCCCCCUCCCCCACCCCCUCACUACCAAAGAUUGAGACAGGAAGUCAAACCGACCCUCUGUGUUCUUAGGCACAGUAAUGUAAAGGAAAAGAGAGAGAGGAGGAAUGUGAAUGUGCAGACACACCUCACAGAGUCAGGGUCUGGAAAGAGGACCUAAUGAACCACAUUAACAAACACACACAUACCAGCAACCUUAAUAUCUGUCGACAUAUCUCUUAAAAACUAGGGAGAAUUAUAGGCAAUGAAAUAAAUACAUACAUUUCUGUAUUUAUACCAGAAGAUGGAGAUCAUAAACAAUAAAAGUCUCAAAUCGUCGCUGUCAUAUCAAAACCGUGUACCAUCCUCUUUUUUUUUAGGUUUUUAACUUUUCUGAUAUGCAAGGGAAAUAUAUUUCCAUAUGUUUUUCAAAAGAUGUGUCAGGUUUGUAAUAAAUUUUGACAUAUGUGAAUUUAGAAAUGGACACUAUUACGUUUAUUACAUCUACAUAAGUGCACAUAUGUAAAUGUAUUGCCAUAUAUGCAUAUAUUGUCAUAUAUUUCAUUAUUAAAAAUGGCACAGGUAGACAUAUUUGGAACAUAUAUUUUAAAACAUCACGUAUAUUGCACAUAUAUUUUUAAUAUGAGCAAAUGUAUGUGCAUAUAAUUUUCUUCCAUGUAGGUAUUAUUGUUUACACCAUUGGAAAACACCAGCUCCCCUUUACAUUGUGUGAACAUUUCACAGUAAUGGACCAACAGAAAAGGUCCAAACUAAAAUAAUAGCUUGUUACAUUGAUGUACAUUCAGGUUAAGAACAUGUUGUCAUUCUUAAGACCUGAGUUUUUGUUACAACAGCGACAAAACACAAUCUUCAUCUGCCAUUAUCUUAAUUUUCAUAGCAUUCUGCAUAUCGUUAGCAUGCAUGCACACACAUAGACGCUCUAUGCACAUUCUUUUCCAAUCACAAUGACAGGUCAACUGAAAUGUCCGGCAGUAGAAUGAAGCAAUAAAGACAGCUUAUCACCAGAUUCUAAACAGGAGACUGUAAGCUGUUAUAAGCUGUCACAAGCAGACUCUGUUAGGAUGUCUUACGCCUGGUCUUAGUGUAGCUUUGACUGUUGAAUAAAGUUUGUUUCGUAUGUAGAUGUAACUUGACAUUCUAGUAGCUUUAACUGUGGCAUUUAAAGCCUUAAUCCGGAGCUGUGAACCUUAGCAGAGGGGCUAGCACCACUGACUUGGGGACAGCUGGAUACUUCCUAAAAAUGGCUUCUUUAAUGUGAAACUGAAUUGACUGUGUUUGUUAACAGCCUCCCUUACCAAUAGUAAAUCUCAUCUCAUUUUGCGUUUCCCAAAUUUGGACUAUAUUUACAGAUGUAAAAAGCCUGUAGACACCAUCUCUAUCUGCUGUCUACAAUAUGUGGUCUGGCCUUCAGAUUUGUGUACUGACCUCUGGUUCACUGGACUAGAAGUGGUUCUUUUUGCUGCAUUUUUAAGGGGUGUGUGAGUUAUGCUCUGCUUGCUUUAAGAGAUCAAUAAUACAUGCACUGACUGAUAAACAAUGUUUGGUAGAAAAGGCCUUUAGACACUGCAACCGUUUGCAACGAUGCUUGAUUUGCCUUUUUUAUGCUUCAUAGUCCACAUGCCAAGUCCUUUUACUGUCUGCUUUCAACAAAAGGCAUUUUAUUUAAUUGCAGUGUUUUUUCUCCCUUUUUGGAUGUUCAUACUGUUUAAAUAAAAAAGUGAAAAAAGAACAGUGUGAAUUUCUUCAGUAUUGGGGGUCUGGGGGUUGUCAACC
ensembl:lncRNA